rnacentral:rRNA from 1 species
UACGGAGGGUGCAAGCGUUAUCCGGAUUCACUGGGCUUAAAGGGUGCGUAGGCGGACAGGUAAGUCAGUGGUGAAAUCUCCGAGCUUAACUCGGAAACUGCCUUUGAUACUCUCUGUCUUGAAUAUGGUGGAGGUAAGCGGAAUAUGUCAUGUAGCGGUGAAAUGCUUAGAGAUGACAUAGAACACCUAUUGCGAAGGCAGCUUACUACGCCUAUAUUGACGCUGAGGCACGAAAGCGUGGGGAUCAAACAGG